GCGGCGGAAGCGGGUCGGGGUGCUCCGCUCUCCUCUUCGGGGCUGCGAAAGCACCGUCCUGGGGCGCCCUCAGCGCUGCUUUCCCCUUCCUCCUUUUCAUUGCGAUCCUGACGCCAGCGACGUUCUUUAGCUUCUUGGUAACCGCCAGCUCGAUGGUCAUCCGUCAUUCAUUCGUUCUUUAAACAUUCAUUAAAGUCGCAAAAUUCCAGCUCGAGAUCGCCGCUCGUGGAGGGUUUAACCCACUGCCCGUGGCCUGAAGUUGUAUCCGCGUAAGCGCCGAGGGAGCCGCAGCCCCGGUCACCGGCGCCAGUUGGCAGCAACGCAGUCUUCCUUCCGGAGGGAUGCGGCUGCCUGCCUAGCCCGUCACCUGGACAGGGGUCACCUGGACCAUUUAAUGAGCCCGACAAAAGGGCUCUCUGCUGCGCUGCCAGUUGGUGGGUCUGCUGACCCGUGGAGCUGUAAACGUGACCUCGGGAAGUAGCUCAAGGGAAAUUUGUUGCUCACCAGAAAUAUACGGGCAAACCAUUUCUGCACUGCUAUAGACAGGAUGGAAGACACUUGCUGGAGAGGAGAAAGCCAUUCGAUUUGAGUGAAACCUGUCAACCCCACUGAAGACCAGUUUUAUCUGGACAUUGCAGAGGAUAUCCUAUAUGAAUGGAAGGUCAAAAUGGAAGCCCCUAGGCUUUGUUACGGAAGAGUUCCCCCACCAACUUGCAAUUGAAUCCUGAAAUUCUUUUUUUUUUUUUUUGAUUUUAUUUAUUUAUUCAUGAGAGACACACACACAGAGAGAGAGGCAAAGACCUAGGCAGAGCAAGAAGCAGGCUCUCUGCAGGGAGCCCGAUGUGGGACUCGAUCCGGGGACUCCAGGAUCAUGCCCUGGGCUGAAGGCAGGCGCUAAACUGUUGAACUACCCAGGGAUGCCCGAGUCCUGAAAUUCUUCCACCAGCAAUUCAACUUUCAGGAUAAAAUGCCAUCGCCCUCGUGGCAGAUCUUGUGAGUUCCCCAUUCACCAUCCACUCUUCCUUCUUCUUGCUAGCCUUAGGUUGUCGGAUAAAGCACAGAAGGCCCAGUUAAAUUUGAAUUUCAAAUAAAUAGCAAAUAUUUUUAUUAUAACUAUGUCCCACAUAUUACAUACUUCUACUAAAAAACAAAGUGUUCAUUGUGAGAAAAUCAAAUUUAAUUAGGCAUCUCCGGUAUUUAUUUACUAAGCCUGGCAGCCCCAUGCUGACCAAAUGGAAAUUCUGUCUGCGGCAGCAAUAUGAACAUCUGCAGACAUUAGAUCAUGAAUGGUCUAAAUCAAUCGGGAUUAUACAGUCCCUCACUUUCCCAGGCCUCUUGCAGCUGGGAGUGUCUAUGUGAUCAGUUCUGGCCUCCAAGACAUUAAGGAAAGUCUGAGUAGGUGUGGGGUGCAAUUUAAAUAAAUUUUUUUUUUCUGGUAGGAGACAUGACUAGUGGUGCCAUCUUUGUUCUGUCCUUCCCUUCUGCUCAGAACAUGGAUCUGAUGCUUGGCAGCAGCAGCAGCACCAUCCUGAUGAGAAGGGCAAGCAAAGACAACUGUAGAGACACUGAUGCCGGUGACAUUAAGUCCUCCGUGUCCGGUCAGUGACUGCUACUUCCAGAGGCCUUGCUUGUAAGAAAGACAAGCACUUAAUUCUAUAAAUCACAUGUGUUUCCUAUAACUUACAGGUGGAAAAACCCUCUUAAAGAAUGCAGAUGCCCAAGGAGAGGAAACCUUUCAUGCAUACCUUGUCAUUUAUCGGCAUUGAUGACUGGCUUGCUGAGAGGCAGUUUUCAUUGAGCAAUCAUUGAGAGGAACCAUCGUCUGCCCAGAGAAAGCAGUAGAAGAGAUCCAGAGCUACUACCUCUUAGUGGCACUGAUCCACAGGGCUCUGGGUUGAUUUGGAAUGAGCUGUGACUCCUGAGGAAUUCUCAUAGAUUCCUGCCUGGGUGGGAGUGGGAGGCAGGAUGAUGUCCAUACCCAUGUCCUAAUCCCUGGACCUGUUAAUAUAUCACAUUACAUGGCCAAGGGGAAUUAAGGUAGCAGAGGAAUUAAGGUAGCUAAUUAGCUACCUUGAUGAUAGGGAGAUUAUCCUGAAUUAUCUGGAUGACCCCAAUGACAUCACAGGAUCCUUCAAAGAAAAAAAUGAAGGCAAAAGAGGGAGAUAGAGAAUUGGAAGGAGAUGGGAAGACAGUACCAGGUAGGAAUGAUGUAAGGCUCAACUGACCAUUGCUAGUUUGAAGGUGGAAGAACGGCUCACAGUUAAGGAAUGUGCAUGACCUCCAAAGCUGGAAAAGGCAAGGAAAUGGAUUCUCCCCUCCAGAUGGGAAUGCAGCCCGACCCACAGCUUGUUUUCAGGCCAGUGAGACCCAUGUCAGACUUCUGUCCUGGAGAACUGGAGGCUAAUAAAUUUGUGUUGUUUAAAGUCA